UACGUAGGGUGCAAGCGUUGUCCGGAAUUAUUGGGCGUAAAGAGCUCGUAGGCGGUUUGUCGCGUCUGCUGUGAAAACGCGAGGCUCAACCUCGCGCCUGCAGUGGGUACGGGCAGACUAGAGUGCGGUAGGGGAGAUUGGAAUUCCUGGUGUAGCGGUGGAAUGCGCAGAUACCAGGAGGAACACCGAUGGCGAAGGCAGAUCUCUGGGCCGUAACUGACGCUGAGGAGCGAAAGCGUGGGGAGCGAACAGG
rnacentral:rRNA from 1 species